CCCUUAGAUGUCCUGGGCCGCACGCGCGCUACACUGAGUGUCUGAGAUACGAGUCUGCCUGGUCCGGCAAGGUCUAGGUAAUCGCUAAAAGACACAUCAUGCUUGGGAUAGAUUAUUGCAAAUAUUUAUCUUGAACGAGGAAUUCCUAGUAAGCGCAAGUCAACAGCUUGCGUUGAUUACGUCCCUGCCCUUUGUACACACCGCCCGUCGCUACUACUGAUUGGAUGUUUAAGCGAGGUUCUCGAACUGCUAGCGACUUAGCUUCGGUGAGGUCGCAGUGUGGGAAGUGAACCUAGCUUUGGUGUCUAGAGGAAGUAAAAGUCGUAACA
rnacentral:rRNA from 1 species